rnacentral:rRNA from 1 species
UCCAGACUCCUACGGGAGGCAGCAGUGGGGAAUAUUGCACAAUGGGGGGAACCCUGAUGCAGCGACGCCGCGUGAGCGAAGAAGUAUUUCGGUAUGUAAAGCUCUAUCAGCAGGGAAGAAAAUGACGGUACCUGACUAAGAAGCACCGGCUAAAUACGUGCCAGCAGCCGCGGUAAUACGUAUGGUGCAAGCGUUAUCCGGAUUUACUGGGUGUAAAGGGAGCGUAGACGGCUGUGCAAGUCUGAAGUGAAAGGCCGGGGCCCAACCCCGGGAGUGCUUUGGAAACUGUGCGGCUAGAGUGUCGGAGAGGCAAGUGGAAUUCCCAGUGUAGCGGUGAAAUGCGUAGAUAUUGGGAGGAACACCAGUGGCGAAGGCGUCUUGCUGGACGAUGACUGACGUUGAGGCUCGAAAGCGUGGGGAGCAAACAGGAUUAGAUACCCCAGUA